GGCUUGUAUCCACCUUGUAGUGUUGCCAAUGUAUUUGGCAACUGGUUACAUGGGAUUGAUCACAGGUUAAGAACUCUUCUUAGGGUGGGAGCGCUAGCCGUUAUUUGGUCGCUUUGGCUAUGUAGAAAUGAUAAGGUUUUUAACAAUAAAAGUACUUCUCUAAUGCAGGUUAUCUAUAGAUGUACCGGGACUCUUCAUUUAUGGUCCUUUCUACAACGCUUGGAGAAUCGAGACCUAUUUAUGGAGGUGUGUACACGAUUGGAGGAUACGCCGAGGGAUAGUUUUAUCCAACAUGGGUUGCAACAUGAUCAUAGGAUUGGCCCACCUCCGCUUUAG
rnacentral:rRNA from 1 species